CAAUGUAUUUAUAUGUUCAUCACAUUUUGAAGAGAGUGACUUCAUAAACUUCGGGGAGUACAGCAAAGGCUUCACGACACGGUUGCUGUUGAAGCCUGGAGCAGUACCAUCGCGGCAGUCUACGGCCAGUGUCCAGCCUAGCACAUCGGGGACAUCUUUCAGCCAUGCAUUUUCACAAACAGACCCACCUAAUCUGUCAUCUCGGGGGACUCAGCUAUCAAUGGGUACUCUACGACAUCAUGUCAAAAGCAGAGGAACACAAACUACUGGCUGUUCUGAAAGUGUGAACAUUGGCACAACUACAGCAGAUGCACCUUGGGGACCUCUGACCUCCACGCCAAUCAAGGUAGCACAUCCAAGGCCAGCUAAAAGAAUACGAUUAGAAGAAG